UUGAAUCACCGUUUAAUUAAAAUUUCGAUUUCACAAUUCCUCCAAAAAUAAGAUCCACAGGUAAACCUUUUUUUCCAGAUUCAAUUUCAUUGACCUUCAUCUUCUUUUUGAAUCUGAUCAUCUUGUUCAUCAAAGUUCAAGUCAUCUUCUUUUGUAUUUCAUCAUCUAAUCACAGAUAUCCAAGAGACAAUACAAGAGACAAUACGUAGUCCAGAAAUCAAUAACGUGUUCUUUACAACGAUUAAUCGUCCUGUUCUUUAUUCUUUUGAUUUCUUCCUUGUUAUUUCGAUUCACAUAACCACAUGAUUCACAUCAGAUGUUCGUCAAUAUCGGUGAUUUUAUUCCCAGGAAUCCAAGCAAAGUCGGUACCUAGUAACGUAUACGAGACACCUAAUGGCAGUAGGUAUUGAACGCCAGUUGUUCCGCCCGGUUGCAAACCCGUUCUAAAGGUGAGAUUUAGUUCAAUGGAAGCCGUUAUUGCAAUGUAUGAGAGUUACGCACAACUAGCAGGGUUUUGUACAGUUGCUGGAAAGCACAGAAAGGGCUGCAACUGUAAAAAGUCAAUGUGCUAGAAAAAGUACUGCCAGUGUUAUCAGGGUUGUUCACAUUGCGGUGUAAUGGUUCAAUUCGUUUCAGAUCCUCGCAACUUAGAGGUGUCUGUUUUGACCCGUAUACUUAUACAACGUGUCAAGUUAUGUAUUAUAUCUAACGGGUCAAACAAGAAAAAAUAAAACUAUUAUGUUUUGCAUUGUACAGAUUAAUGUUUGUUUGGUUUUUUCAUUAUGUAACAUACAGGGGUUUUUACUCUGUUUUUAGGCGAUGGUAUGAAUUUUUCUUGGUUGAUUUGUUGUAGACAUUUGUAC
rnacentral:lncRNA from 1 species